rnacentral:rRNA from 1 species
UACGGAGGGUGCAAGCAUUAAUCGGAAUUAUUGGGCGUAAAGGGCGCGUAGGCGGAUUUGUAAGUCAGAUGUGAAAUACCGAGGCUUAACUUCGGUGCUGCAUUUGAAACUACAAACCUAGAGGGUAAACGGAGAAAACGGAAUUCCACGUGUAGCGGUGAAAUGCGUGGAUAUGUGGAAGAACACCUGUGGCGAAAGCGGUUUUCUAGUUUAUACCUGACGCUGAGGCGCGAGAGCAAGGGGAGCAAACAGG